ensembl:lncRNA
AAAAUAGUAAAUUGAUAUUAUGUAUAUUUUACCACAAUAAUUUUAAAAAACGUUAAAAAUAGAAAAUGCUACUCCAGAAGGCAGUCUUUAAAAUAAGGGAAUUUCUUUCUUAGGGGCACUUCCUCUGAGGUUUCAGGAGGGCCUUCUCAGCUGGAGAAGCAGUAAAUUUUAAUACAGUGUGGGGGACUAGAAUUGGCCACCCCAAGAUAUGUCUCUUUGGCAUGAGGAUUAUUUUGGCUGGAGACUUUUAAAAACUGCAGACAUGAGAGAAACUCUGAAAAGUAGAAUUUACUUACCCUUUGUUAAGAGAUAGUUACAUUUGUAAAGGAAAUCUCCAUCUGUAAAGGUGUCUCCCUCUCUGUACCAGGAAGAAGGGGGAUGACCUUAUCUCUAGAAACUCUUAUCAAUACAGAAGGCAAGGACUUAAAUCUGCAUAAUAACCUUACUCUUGUUUACUGUAUUUUUAUGGUAAUCUCCCAUAACUGACUCUCCCUACCCCCAACAUCCUCCUUUGUCUUUAGCUGAGGGUGGUAUUUAAGGAGAGAGCUUCUGAAAUUUUGGCGAGUUUCUCAGUUUGCCUGAGCCUCUCCCUUGUAUACAUGUUAUAAAGCUUUGUUUAAUUUUCUCCUGUUAUUCUGUCUCAUGUCAAUUUAAUUUGUUGUUCUGCCAGAAGGACCCAGAGUGGGUAGAGGAAAUGUCCUCCUCCCCUACAACAGUAAGUCUUGUAAUUUUCACAGCCCAAUAAAGUAAACAAAAAAAACAAGGAGAAGCAAUUUAGGAUUGCCAGCUUUUUAAUUUUACCAAGUAAGUUCUUUAAAAACUAUUGCACACAACGUUUGCUAUCUAUUAUCACUAUCAUUCUUUAAAAAAAAUAAUAAAGUCAUAGAGGAUAUAUUUUUAUAUUGAAAUCAUGUGCUUGACGGAAAACCUUACUACUGUCCUUUUGCUCUUAUUUAGUGUAAAAAAACUUUCGUCAUGGCCCCUGGACUGAUUACUAGAGCAGCUCCUGGCCCCUGGGCUUCUUAGAAAAGAGAGCCUGAGACUAGAAAUGCCUUCUCUUCCCGUGGGGACCCUUCCUGAGAGGAGAGAGAGACAGCUGAGAUGGAGUUACCACCUGCAGCCCAGGAGCCUGGGGGCUUUCACACCAGGUAAGAAGAGAGCCACCUAGUCACCAUGCUGGGGGCUGGCUCAGGCUUCCAAGGGAGUGAGGGAAAGUCAGGGUUUCUCCCUUUUUAACUAAUAGAGGAAAAAGAAAACUAGUAAAUAAGGCACUCCCUUGGACCUUUGUUUUGUAAAGCAAGUACUUAAGAAAUCAACCAAUAUUUAUGGUGUAGAUACUACUUUCAAGACAUUGUGGUAAGUCUGUUUAACCUAGAAUUUUAGCUGUGUUGAUAAGAAGUUUCUCAUCUUUUGCCCUGACAGUUUGCAAAUCUACUCAUUACUAUUAUUUUUUUAAAGAUUUUAUUUUUCCUUUUUCUCCCCAAAGCCCCCCAGUACAUAGUUGUGUGUUUUUAGUUGUGGAUCCUUCUGGUUAUGGCAUGUGGGACACGGCCUCAGCAUGGCCUGAUGAGCGGUGCCAUGUCCACGCCCAGGAUUCGAACCCAUGAAACUCCGGGCCCCAGAAGUGGAACACGCAAACUUAACCUCUCGGCCACGGGGCUGGCUAAAACUCAAUUCUAGUUUACUUUUUGUUGCUUUGACCCACCCAUUCACCAAUUUCUUUCUUUCUUUCUUUCUUUUGCUGAGGAAGAUUCGUCCUGAGCUAACAUCUGUUGCCAGUCUUUCUCUUUUUGUAUGCAAGUUGCUGCCACAGCAUGGCCACUGUCAGAUGAGUGCUGUAGGUCUGUUACCAAACCAGGUUUGUUUUUGCCUGCCGCCCAGAAAGCCAGACUCUGAGACGACAAGAUUUGCAGCAGAGAGAGAGUUUAAUCACAAGGCAGCCAUGUGAGGAAGCAUAGGGCAUGAGUCUCAAAUCUGCUUCCUCUGAAAAUGGAGACUCAGGGAUAUUUAUGGGUUAAGGGGACAAGGUGGUCUGAAAUGUGGAAAUAGCUGAUUGGAGGUGAGGAGAGGUGAGGGAAUUGAUGAUCUGCGCAAGUGUAGUCAGACUUCAUGCCUCUUCAUAGGAGCCAUGUUCACAAAAUGGCGGCGUUAGCAUGAUCUGAGGGGGGAGUUUUUAGCCUCUUGACGUCAAAAGGUCGCCUAUUGGACAUCUGCAUGGGCCCACUUGAUGAGUUGGUGGUCUCAACCGGCCUGAAGUGGACAAGGGGUUCUAAUUCCUGAAAAACAGCUCACACCCCCAUUACCAUGGUGACCCAGCCUCCAGGGAGAUCUUAUCUAUGGGAGCCUAGUGGGAGUCAAAUAGCAUGUUGCCUAAGCAGCCAGUUAACAAUGGGCGGGGAAACAACUAAAAGCUAUAAUCAGUAAUUGCAAAAAGGAAAAAAACCUUUACUUCCUAGCUACUUAAUCAUCAAUGGCUAACUCUUUGCUGGUUUCAGGUCCACACCCUGGAACCGAACCCAGGCCACUGAAGCCAAGCAUGCCGAACUUAACCACUAGGCCACUGGGGCUGGCCCUCACCAAUUUCUGACGGUCCCUGCACAGGCAGAGGAAGACAUUGUGCCCUAUCUUUUUAAGAUCAUAAUUUACAGAACAGUGAUAGCUAACAUAUACUGACCGCUUACCAUGUGCCAGAUACUGUCCUCAGCAUUUUGCACAAAUUAGCUCACUUAAUCCUCACACUAACUCUAUCAAGUAGUUACCAUUAGAAUCCCUAUAUUACAGGAGGGGAAACUGAGGACCUGAGCAACUUACCAAAGGUGCCACUGUGCUGCUACUGUGUUCUGACCUCCCAGUCUACGAUCUUUCACAGUGGAAAGCAUCUACCUGCAGAUCGCUCAGCCCGCAGGAAUUCCAAAAGAUCUAACUUUCACCAUUCUGCCUUCCAAAAUAGUUUCUAAAACCCCAUUAUUGUAAAGAAGUGAGAACUGUGACUAAAUUUUUUUUUUUUUUUUUUUUGCCUUAAAAAGGAGGGAAUGAGCUCAUGGCUUCAUCAAGGCCAGACUUGCCUCCAGCCUAAAUCAGGAUUUACCUGCUUGCCUCACAUUUUGCUUUGCCAGAGCGCUUAGUUUUCUCAAUUAUAAUUGUCUCUUCCUGUCUCCCCAGCUGUACUGUGACCGCAAGGAGAGAGUCUUUUUCAAAUCUCUUUAUCUCUAACACCUAGGACAAUGCCUGGUACUUAGCAGGUAGGUCCUUAAUACGUUUUGGGGAAUGAUGAUAUUAACAACACAGCAUCAGGGGCCUGCUCCGUGGCCGAGUGGUUAAGUUCGCACGCUCCGCUGCGGCGGCCCAGGGUUCGGAUGCUGGGCAUGGACAUGGCACUGCUCGUAAGGCCACAUUGAGGCGGCGUCCCACAUCCCACAACUAGAAGGACCUGCCACUAAGAUAUACAACUGCGUACAGGGGGAGUUUGGGGAGAUAAAGCAGGAAAAAAAAAAAAAAAUUGGCAACAGUUGUUAGCCCAGGUGCCAAUCCUUGAAAAAAAAAACAAAAGGAAGAUUGGCAACAGUUGUUAGCCCAGGUGCCAAUCUUUAAAAAAAAAACAAAACACAGCAUCAUGGUUAACUUCAGACAGAUUGAAUGACUUGCCUCAAGUCACAGAGCUGGUUAGCAGCGGGGUUGGAAUGCAAACACAAAUUUGUUUGAUUCCAAAAAUCUGCUGUUUCCACAAAGAAGGCCAUCCAUAUAUGUCCUCUUACUUAUUUUUCAUGUUAGCGUUAUCUUUCCUCUGUUGUGAAUUCCUAGUGAAAGCCUAGGCCUCAAUCAUAGCAGUCAUCAUUUUAUAGCUGUUAUUUUUCAGGUGUGUAGUAUGUGCCAGGCAUUGUGCUCAGCACCCCGCAUAUAUGAUCGCAUUUAAUCUUCACAACAAUCCCAUGAGGCUGGCGCUAUUACUAUAGCCUGUGGCAGGUGGGCAACUGAGACUUAACAAGGCAAGUUAACUUGCAUGCUGGCCUGAGUAAGAGUUUUCUGAAUGCAAAUCCUGGGUCCCCCUGUGUGUCCCCCUUUGCCCCGGCUGUCAGACCAUUACCACUGCACCACCCUCCCUCUUUAUGUAGUAUCUGCUACUCUGCUGGGUCCCUCAGCCUUUACCGACACUCCCUCAGCCACCUACUGGCUGGGCCACACCUGGAUCGUGCCACGAUCUAAGACUACCCCACCUACGAAACUCAAUAACUCUCGUCCAUAACCUCAGCCUCAUCCAACCUGACUCACUCAACUACUCCCAAGAACCAACACACUGUUCUUAAGCCUCCGGUUCCUCAACUUACCCCUUUGCUCACACUCAAGCUCCCUCAGGGGCUCAUUUUCUUACAUCUCUAAUCUAAACCUCAUUCUUGAGCAUGCUGGCAACACCACUCAUGCCCCGUGAAUCCCUAAAUUUAGGUAAUACCCCUUCCCUCCUGUUCCCAAACUUGGCCAGGAACCCGGCUGGAGGAAGUUACACAUUGGUGCCCUCACAGAUCUGUAGUCUUUGAUCCCAGUGUGGCCCUCAGUAGCACUCAAAACCCCCUUUCCUGCUCAGCUCCCUCUCCCAUUCCUCCAGGGCCCUUUACCAUCUUUACCACUUUCUUCAAGCCACCCAACCCAACACUCACUCCCAAUCACACCGCUUCCUACAUCACUGCAAAAAUCAAGGCUCUCAGGUGAAAAUUUCCUAAUGCUCCUGUGCCCAUAAUUUUAUCUAUGACCGUAUUCAGCACCAACUUCUCUCCUCCAGUUGCAGAGGUAGGUCUGCUUCUUUAGCUCAAGGCAAAGUCCUCUCUCCCAUGCUCUUUCAUCCCCAUCUCUGUGACAAUGUUGUUCUGUUAGUCAUUCCCUAUCUAACUGAUUGCACCUUUCCUUCUCCAUUAACUCUUUCCCAUCAGCUGAAAAUCUCCCAUGGAAAAGCAAGAACAGAAGUAAAAAUUAAAGAAAAAAACAAGGACAAUUUUCCAUUGACCUUUAGUCAACUUCUGGUCCCAGGUCUCUGCCUCCUCCAUAGUCUGGCUCCCCAAAUAAUAAUCUGCACUCACUCUCUUCCCUUCCUCUCUAUCAUUAGUCAACCGACUAUUAAUUCAAUCACACUUUCACCCACCCUUGCCCCUCCAAUAAAAUUAUCACAGCAAAGUGUACCAUUGCCCUUCUACUUGCAAAUCUGGUAGGCUGCCUUUUGGUCCUCAUUUCACUUCAUUUCUCUGUGAUAUUUGGUGUUAUUGACCAUUCUCUUCCUGAAGCUUUUGAUUCCCUUGCUUUCUAAUGACAUCACUCUGUUCUCCUUGUUUUAAUUAAUUUAUUAUCUUAGUCAGCAAACCUCCCUACCAUGUGCUUGGCACUACAGCGGUAGGUGCUUGGGAUACAAAGAUAAAGAAGACAUGGUGACUGUCCUUAAAGACUAAGAAAUUUGGUUAGAUUUCUGGAAAUUUUGUAGCUUCUUCAAGUUGUUUUGCUGCCUCUUUGUUUGUCAGUACUGUGUGGGAAUCCCCUUUAAAGACAAUGCCCUUGAAAAGGAGGAGGUUCAUACGCCUGGCCUGGGAGAUCACACGGAUGCUCCACCCAAUUCCAGAGCGUGUGGGGAAAGAAGAGCCAAUAAUGGAGUGGGCAGCUCAGGGCUAGAGAAAGUAGGCACGAAAGAAAAGACAAAAGAAAGAAACCCUAGUCUGCAUCAAAGAGUAACUGCAGGAGCGUAAAUUGCAGAAAGCUCAUGUUGGGUCCUUGACGUCAAAAGCCGUGUGUCUCUUGUACCUGUUUGUUCUAUCCCCAUUGCCACCAUCCUGUUCUAAGCCUUCAACACUUGCUUUCAAAGUCUCUCUGGGACCUCUCCCCAAAAGAUACCUCUGGACAGAAAGUAGUCCUCUAUCCUGUGUAUGGGAUUCCCUUUGGGGUCACAGAAUUGGAUUUCUCAUGAAAGAGUAAUGCCACAACCCUGGGGGCUUUGGAGGCUGAAUGGAAUUGGCUUGAAUUUUAAGAGAUUUAGAUGUUUACCGUGGGUGUUAGAGGUAAAAGAUGUCUCCUGAAGUGUGCUGGGAGGGGGGAGCCAAGCAAGGCCCUGUUUCCCUGGGAUGUCACUUGGAAUGAGGUAGGAUUUAUAAGCCCCAGAGAGCAAGGUGUACCUUGUAAACUCGAUUAUUUAUGCAUUGGCUUCCUUUUUGUCCUCUCUUUAUGUUUAGUAAACUUUUAUUAACUUUAUGUUUAUUUGACCUAUGCUAAGGGGAAGCAAAGAAAGGGACUUUUUGACAGAGCCUUAAAAGGGAAGAAGUCUACCUCUGAGGCCAAUGUGGUAAAGGCAGUGGGCAUUGGGGAAAGACCACAACAAGAGUCAAAUCAGAAGUACAGCGUUGAGAUCUCUGGGUUCUGCUCCAGGAGAGCGCUCUCUUCAUACAAGCUCACAGCGCUGGGUUUUCCUUUAUCCUGGCAGGUGGCAUCCUCUUACAUCCCCAGGACCACUGUACUGCACUCUCCCCACUGCCUGCAUCUCUCUUAUCCCACACUUUUGCUUUGGUCACUGUCACUCACAGUGCUUCCUUCCUUAGGAAGCCCUCCCUCUGCCAAUUGAAAUCCAACUGUUCAAGCCCCAUUUUCUUCAGAAAGUCAUCCUUCACUGAUCCUACACAUGUUCAUGUUUCCCUUCUGGAAACUUUUCUAGCACUGUACGAUAUUAGCAUUGGGUUACAAGCCUACUUACAUAAUGCAUGUAGGUCUUGUCUUCUCCGAUUAGGCUGAGAACCUGUCAAGAGGAGGGAUGGAUGGCCUCUCGUCUUUGGUAUUGCUCAAAGUGAAGGGCACACAGCCAACCCCAUCUCUACCAGGUGACUGAAUUGUUCCAAUUUAAAAGGCACAGAGGUGGGAGAGCCAGGAGACUGGAGGGGCUUUCAGUUAAUUAUUUUGACUGAUAUUCUAGAGUGACCAGAAAUAAAAUAAGCCUUGGGUAGUGGGGUAGAAGAUCUUUAGAACAUCACAUUACCCUCUUUAUUGAGGAAAUUUGAAUCCUUUCUCAUCUCUGAAGAUCCAGAACUAAAAGCCCCCCCCAAACACACAGAUUUCACACUAAACUCCCCAAAGUGUUCACUAUCUGUACGAACAUAAACAUACUUCCCCCUUGUGGAAAAGUGUCUCUAAAGAACAUCAGUAAUGAAUCUCUGAUAGCCCUCUCUCAUCUCCAUAAAUCCUUUAGGGUUAGAGGUCGGGAGAGGGUACUCCUUUGGUAUCAUUCAAGGCAGAUUGUACAGUGCAUUAGUGAGCACGAAGGGACAGCCAUAAAAUAUUCAUAGGCUGUGGUGUGGACGCACUGACUGCUUGAGGGACCUGCGCCUGAGGGAUUAGAUCAGUCAGAUCCCCUAGCAGCGCUCUAUUUCCUUAAACUUGGAGGUUUCCACAGCUCACCAACACAUCUGAUUUAGAAUUUAAAGGGAUUUUUUGAAACCACAGGAGAAAGGGUGGGGUAGGCUGGAGGUAAACUAUUUGCCCAGGGCUCCUGGCCUGAGGAGAAGCAACGGACUUUUUUCACAAGGAGGACUAUCUGGGGCAGAAGCAAAAACCUCCUCUGAGAAUUACUGGACAAAGUUAGAGUUGGAGGAAAAGUAUCUCCCAGGAAUACACCUAGGGAAGAAUCCCUGCCAGGAAAGACACUCACCUCCCUUUAUUCAUUUUUGAUCAAACUUAAUUCAAUCUAACCAAUAUUGGAUUGUAUAUGUAAUCAAGGUACUUGCCUGAUAAGGAAUCAGAAAGUGUACUCUACAUUCCAGAGGAUUAGAAUUUAUUUGAAGAUAAUUAUGCUGUCACACGGGAAGAAAAUAAAAUGUCUAUAGAAUCCUCCUUUGUUUUUGUUUUUGUUUUUUAAGAUUGGCACCUGGGCUAACAACUGUUGCCAAUCUUCCUUUUGUUUUUUUUUUUCUGCUUUAUCUCCCCAAACCCCCCCAUACACAGUUGUAUAUCUUAGUUGCAGGUCCUUCUAGUUGUGGGAUGUGGGACGCCACCUCAACGUGGCCUUAUGAGCAGUGCCAUGUCUGCGCCCAGGAUCCAAACCCUGGGCUGCUGCAGCAGAACGCACGAACUUAACCACUCGGCCACGGAGCUGGGCCCAGAAUCCUCCUUUGGGUGCUGGGCAGGUAAUUAAGAUCUUGUUUUUCCAGGGAAGUUUCACAUAUUGCAGCUGCAGGUUGGGGGGUGGGGGGUUGGGUGGAGGCCUGACCCUAGCUGGGGAAAGAGUAAGACCAUUCUGAGUCACCCCAGAUUCAGGACUAGCAGGUGUCACCUAGGCAGGAAGCGUGAGGGUGGGGUGCCAAAAGCCUGAUACUGGAGGGAAGAGAAGGGCAGGGAAAACAGCCAGGCUAGGAUGCAUGCCACGUGUGGUUUCAAUCUUCUAGACGCUGGGCGUGAAGUAGUUAAAGAGAAACCCAAGACAGCUGCAGCCCGGGGGCUCUGUAAUGGGAAGUCUCCUAGAGUUCAUUUUUCUGUGCCACCAAGGGAGACUUUUUCAGCUGGGACCCAAUCUGGAAGCUAUUCUACCCACUGGAAAGCCAGGAGCUAUAAAACCCUCCUGAUGCCUCAGCAUGACUCAGAGGCAGCUGAACAAGACCCUGAAGAGAGUGGGGACAGCUGUGGAGCCUCACACUUUGGCAUAUCUCGGGGUGGAAAGCAAAACCUCCUUAGAAAUAUAAAAUGAUGUUGCUGUCAUUCACCAAUACAAAUUCCAGGCAAGUGAAAGACUUGUGUGUAAGAACGUGGAAACCUAGAGUAAAGUAAAAGUGAAUAUAAAAUACUUUACUAGAGUAAAGUAAAAGUGAAUAGCUGAUCUCAAGCAAAGAAAGAAGUCAUUAGUAAUAGAGAAAGUGCUGAGAAACUUCAAGGUCUACACAGGUGGACGGAGCUAGGACUCAAACCCAGGGCUGUGCAACACCAGAGCCUUCCUCUUAACCCUGCCCCAAACUGCUUCCUUAGAGAAAAAGUAAAAAUAGGCAGUUCAGAAAACAAAGAUUUCUGGGGCCAGCCCCGUGGCUGAGUGGUUAAGUUCACACGCUCCACUUCAGCAGCCCAGGGUUUCACUGGUUUGGAUCCUGGGCGUGGACAUGGCACCUCUCGUCAAGCCGUGCUGAGGUGGUGUCCCACAUAGCAUGACCAGAGGCACUCACAACUAGAAUAUACAACUAUGUACUGCGGGGCUUUGGGGAGAAGAAGAGGAAGAAAAAAAAGAAGAUUAGCAACAGACGUUAGCUCAGGUGCCAAUCUUUAAAAACAAAAAGCAAAGAUUUCUAAAGUAUGCCCUCCAAACUCACCAGAAAUGGAAAGAGCAGGCAACAAAUUGGGAAGUUUGGGUAAUAAAUGAUAGACAUAGAGUGAUAGACCUAAAACAGAUGUAAAUCCAAAAGAAAAAGACAGAAAGAAGCUAAUGGAAAUUUUGACAGAGGUGACAAACAGGCUGUUUCCAAAGGAAGAAAUGUUGACAAUGAACGUGUGAAAAAUGCUGAGUCUCCUUAGUAUCAAAGAAAUGCAUAUUAACUAAGACACAGCAUUUUUUCAUCUAACAAAUUGGCCAACUUUUAACAAAAAGUUAAUGCCUAGUUUUUGGUGAGGUAAGAUUGGUAGGGAGACCAACUUUUUAGAGAGCCAACCCAGGACACAAUUAUACCAGACAAAAAAUUAAUGGUAAUAUAAUGUAUAAUAAAUAAUUACACAUGUAUAUAUCAGUUUAAUAUGAAAAUAGAUGUUAAUUUUAAAUUAUAUAUCAUUCUGUAUUGUUUAGUUUUCUGUUGCAUAAGUGCUAUUUAAACUAAACCACAAUGAAACUAGUUAAGAACAACUCAUCAUAAUUAAUAAUAGGACAAAUUACAAAAUAAUGAGCAAGAAAAAUAUAACAAUAUUUUUAUAGUGUUUCUUUUGAUUUUCUGAUACAGUAAUUUACUUUAACUCUUUUUAACUCUAUUGGAUAUUUACAUUUUGUAGGCUUUAUUGUACAUGCUGAAGAUGCACAAAUGUAAUACCUUUUUAAAGGACUGUAUAAAUGCAUUGGACUAAUAAAUGAAUAUUAACCUAUGUUUAAUAAAAAAAGAACAAUGAUGUGUUUCUUUCUCUCCCACAGUACCAUAUGAUAUUUUUACUCUUCCUGUUUCUUUUUGCAACAACUUAGAGAAGGCUCCUUUUCUUUUCUGUAGUGAUAGACUGAACAUAACGCAAAUGUAAAAUCCAGUUUGACUUUCAGAUCUUCUUUUAUCAACCCCACAUCAUGCUAAUUCCUGGUGUCAGUCCAAUGUGAUGACAUCCAGCUAAAUAUCCUCCCAAUAAAAGCAUUUUAGCAUAAAAUACUUAGAAUUUUACUUACUAGUAACAGCAGGUUUUUAGACUGGUGCGCCUUUGUUUCCAGCUCUCCAAAAAUGUCCAUCCACUUUAUAUUGACAGGCUUGUAAUUGUAGAUCAGCUGUUCGUCAAUAAUGUCCUUUGCAUCUAUAAAUUCAUCUUCUAGACGCUCCAUGUCUAAAAUGUCCAUCAUUUGUCCAAAGCACAUUGGAUAUCAUCACAAGUUAAGCCUCUCUCAGGGAAGCAGUUUUAAAGUGUAGAUGUAAUCUGAACUUGUGAAAUUGCAGUUGGAUUCCAAAUAAGUUACAGUUUUAGUAAAGAGAUGAGAAAGUCCUGUUUAACUUGGUUGACCUUUUUUAGUUCUAGUAACUUUUUUUUUUUGAGUUCAGAAACAGUCUUAUUUCAAAAAAAGGCUAUAUGAGUUUCUGUCACAACUACACAUAACAUGAAACAAUUCAAGUGGAUUCAGUUCAUCCUUUCCUGGGCUCCUUAUGGCCUCUUCAAAGAUCAUCAAACAAUUUUGGAGAAACAGCAUAUAAACUUCCGUUUUACUGUAAUGCUUUUUUCCAUUUCCAUCCUCAAUGUAUUUUCAAAUUAGAGAAGGACAUUCUUCUUGUCCUACAUUUUAAAAAUAUGAUUUUACAGACAAUAUCUAACAUCUUUCUAUGGCCAGCAGCAGUGAUAGCCAUCCUAUAGGCACAUGUCUAAGAAAGCUCUUCUCGUUUUUAUAAAGUCAAAUAUCUCAUUAAGUAACUGUAGUUUUCAGGAAACUGAAAAGUGACAAAGACUUUCAUAAUGAAAACCUCGAGUUCAUAAGUGAGCAAAUCACAUUCCCUUUUAGCAAUAUCAUGUACUAGGUAUGCAAAACAUUUAGCAGG